AUGCAUAUAUGUAUUUGCUCUCCAUACAAACAACGCGAGAGACUGUACGACGGGAUAUACGGCCGGUUGGUCCUCAUAAUGCUUAGUUUUGCUGUAAUUAAUUGAAAACAGUUAUUAGGUCGUCAUUGGCAAUAGCGUAAAUAAUUGCAGCAGAUUUUUACUUAAAAUUGACCGGUCACGGAGUGAUAGAUCGAUUCGAGGUAUAAAAAUGAUGUAUCAAAACAUCAAUGUCGAUUAUUUGAAAUAUUGUAGUCGAAUCUUUUUAUUGCUUCAUCGGUUAAGUGUCUGAAAGUGCUGUGUUCCAACAUAUAUUUAUGUUGUCAAUACUGUCAAAACUGUCAGUUUUAUUACACCGGAUUUGUAAUACAUUUCGGAUUUGCUCAUUUACAUAAAAUGGCCACCCCGGGUACCCCCCCUUCUCCCCUCUCUGGAAAUCUCUGUCAAUGCUGAAAGGAUCCGGGACUCACAGCUGAGGCAAAAGAAGUAGAAGUAUGGCUCCAUUAAGUCCAAUUCGAACGUCCCUCUGGAAAGCUCGGGUUAUUUCUAACUUGCCAUCAGAGGGAAUCCUCCCACCCCUUUACCUCCCCAGUAAGAUUUAAACACUUUUCUUCUCUCACACCUCGCUUAAACCCUUUAGGAGCGCCGAGAACCUGCACGGAGAGAACGGCGAGCCGGAGCCCACCUGGGAGCCCGGAGCCCUCCGAGCAGAGCGGCCCCGACCCGCCCGCGUAGGGCCGGGUGCGGGCAGCAGCGGGGAACAAAGGGAGCGAUGACCGUAGGGGAUCCUUCCUUAGCGGGUCGGAGCCCGAAGGAACGCGGAGUGGGAGCAGAGGGGCGUUCCGCGCCCCCUGUCCCGCAGCCCCCAUGCAGCGGGGUCUGAACUGGUGGUUCUCUUUAGCCGUGAGCCCUGAGUUGGUGUUAGCCCGGUGCCAGGCACCCCUCGCUCACGCUCCCCCCGCGCCCAGCCGGGAAGCGGCCAAGCUCAGCAAUAAAUCAAUCCGCUGCCACAUCGCUCCCUUCGAUCGAGCAAACACUGCGAUCCAGCCCGGUCACUUCUCCUCCCACCCCACCCGCUCUGAGGCUGACGCUGCUUCACGGGCUGGGGAGACGGACCCGAGGUGCGGGGUGAGGGGGAGGGGGUGGUUUGUCUUUUUCUGUUUGUUUCUUUCUUGUCAUUUUUCUCCCCCCCCCCCCCCCCCCCUUUUUUUUUUUCUUUUUCCUUCUCCCCUUUCCCAGGGAGAUGUAUGCUUAAAGAGCCGCUGGAGCGAGCCCCGAGUUCCCGGGGGAGAAGGAAGGUUGGCCCGUGGAGAGGCAGCCGGCAGGAGAUGGUUGCCGCAGUGCGUGGCAAGUGCUUCUCCGAGAAAUCCAUCAGCCCUUCUACGGUGA
rnacentral:lncRNA from 7 species